rnacentral:rRNA from 1 species
UACGGAGGGUGCGAGCGUUGUCCGGAAUCACUGGGCGUAAAGCGCACGUAGGCGGCGAUUCAAGUCAGAGGUGAAAGCCCGGGGCUCAACCCCGGAACUGCCUUUGAAACUAGAUUGCUAGAAUCCUGGAGAGGCGAGUGGAAUUCCGAGUGUAGAGGUGAAAUUCGUAGAUAUUCGGAAGAACACCAGUGGCGAAGGCGACUCGCUGGACAGGUAUUGACGCUGAGGUGCGAAAGCGUGGGGAGCAAACAGG